UCCUAUUUCUCGCUCUCUCUCUCUCUCUCUGGCUGUUGUCCCGUCGCUAUCAUUUUCUCUCUCGUCGUCUGGUUGUCCCGUCCGCGAUCAUUGUCUCUCUCUCUCUCUUUGGUUGUCCCUGUCGCUAUCAUUUUCUCUCGCUCUCUGGUUGUCCCUGUCGCUUAUAUCAGUUUCCUCUCUCUCUCUGGUUGUCCCUGUCCCGACUAUCAAUUCUCUCUCUCUCUGGUUGUACCCGGUCGCUAUCAUUUUCUCUCUCUCUCUGGUUGUCCCUGUUGCUAAUCAGUGUUCUACUUUCUCUUCUCUCUCUCUGGUUUGUCCCUGUCCUAGCCUUUUUUCCAUCUCUCUCUCUCUCUGUUGUCCUCUGUUUGGCGAUCAUUUUCUCUCGCCGCUCUCUCUCUGGUUGUCCCUGUCGCUAUCCUUUUCUCUCUCUCUCUGGUCGUCCCUGUCGCUAUCAUUUUCUCUCUCUCUCUCUCUCUCUCUCCACAUUUCUCUCUCUCUCUCCACAUUUCUCUCUCUCUCUCUCUCUGUAUAAUUUUUUUUCUCUAUUUUCCGGUAGUAAAAUGGUGCCAGCCUGACACAUAAAUGAAGAGGCCAUGUAACUGAAUCCUCUCCAUUAUACAGUAAAGAUGCUGAGCGGCGCUCCCAGUUUGAGGAGAACAUAAAACUGAGCAGCAUGAUAAGAAGUUAAAGAAAGACUUUGAUAUUUUUAAAUGGCAAACAUAAAAGGCAAUCAAGAUGGACAUGGUCUCUAUAAAGCUCUAAUGGAGGAUCAAUUAAGAAGCCUGAGCUGCAAAGAGAGACGUUUACUGUGCCGAUGCCGGCAAAGAACCAACCUGUCAUCUCUGAAAACUCAAGGUUGGAACAAAAACACAGAGAGGAUUUCUCCUUCUCUCUGUACAUCCUUCAGCCCAAACCAAACAUUAUGUUCUGUAAGAAGGGCAAAGGUCAAGCUGUGUUAGACAUACCAGUUCUCUUUUAGUGUCCCCUGUUGGAGCGGAGGACCAUCAUGGAAAUACUGCAAUACUACUGUCUGAUCAUUAGUGGGGUUGACUGAAAACUUAAUGACCUAUUUAGUACACAAACUAAAACAAAUAGAUUGACAAUUUAGAAAGCUGGAAGUUCCAUGUCAUACAUACGGUAAACCAGACAUAUGAUGUCAAUCCCAGUAUUUAUUGCGUGUUUGUUAUUUUCCUGCCACAACAUCCCUGGUGAACUGAAUGACCGGCCUGUCCCUCUUGGCAGGAACAUAAAAGAUGUAACACACAGUAUAUUUUUCCUAUCGUCUUUGUGUUUAUUUUCUGGUCGCUGCAGACAUUUGGGUUUUCCUCUGUGCUUGAUAUUAGCAUUGACAUGAGUCCUUAAAGCAGUGUGUAUUUGUGUUUCUCUAAAGGUGCUGACCACAGUCACCUUGAUUUGCCCACCAUAUUUACUGAGCUCACUAAUGAGAAGUUAUUAAGGUGUAUGGCCUGAAUUUUCUUUUCCAUGCCCAAUUAAUUUUUGCAGGUACAUAUUCAUAUAAUAUCUGGACACUGAAUGACAA
rnacentral:lncRNA from 1 species